CAGGACGAACGCUGGCGGCGUGCUUAACACAUGCAAGUCGAACGAGAAUCUGCUGAAGGAGGAUUCGUCCAACGGAAGUAGAGGAAAGUGGCGGACGGGUGAGUAACGCGUGGGUAACCUGCCUUAUACAGGGGGAUAACAGUUAGAAAUGACUGCUAAUACCGCAUAAGCGCACAGGAUUGCAUGAUCUAGUGUGAAAAACUCCGGUGGUAUAAGAUGGACCCGCGUCUGAUUAGCUGGUUGGUGAGGUAACGGCCCACCAAGGCGACGAUCAGUAGCCGACCUGAGAGGGUGACCGGCCACAUUGGGACUGAGACACGGCCCAAACUCCUACGGGAGGCAGCAGUGGGGAAUAUUGCACAAUGGGGGAAACCCUGAUGCAGCGACGCCGCGUGAGCGAAGAAGUAUUUCGGUAUGUAAAGCUCUAUCAGCAGGGAAGAAAAAAUGACGGUACCUGACUAAGAAGCCCCGGCUAACUACGUG
rnacentral:rRNA from 1 species